rnacentral:rRNA from 1 species
AAACUAACAAGGAUUCCCCUAGUAGCGGCGAGCGAAGCGGGAAGAGCUCAAAUUUAUAAUCUGGCACCUUCGGUGUCCGAGUUGUAAUCUCUAGAAGUGUUUUCCGCGUUGGACCGCACACAAGUCUGUUGGAAUACAGCGGCAUAGUGGUGAAACCCCCGUAUAUGGUGCGGACGC